rnacentral:lncRNA from 1 species
UAAUAAAAUUUUUUUUUUUUUUUUUUUAAUUUUAAAAAAUUAAAACAUUUAUUACAUCUUUUUGUUUUAUUCAUUUUUUAUCUUUCUCUAAUCUGUUUUAUUUUAUUCUCUUUGAAAAGUUCAGGGUGUAUUAUUUUAAAAUUUAUAGUUCAUAAUUUCGAACUAUACGGCUUAAUGCAAAUUUCAUAGAGAAAAAAAAAAAAAAAAAAUUAUAUAAUUUUUAUGUAAUCUUUUUUAAUAAUCAAAAUGCCAUUAGUUCAUGGAACUCAUGUAAUACCUAUGAGUAAUGAAAUAAAAAGAAAAAAGAAAAGAAAGAACAGGAUUUUGUAUGAUUAAUCAAAACUGAUAAUUUUAUAUUGGCUUUUAUUUUCUUUUACUUUCUCACAAACAAUAUAUAUACAUAUUUAUAUACCUCAAUUAACUACUUAUAUAUUCUUACCAGAAAACUACACCAUCGUUAGUGAUGGAUAUGGAGAAAGAGGAAUUAAAAAAACAUACGAAGAUGAGUUUUUUAUUAGUGAUAACUUGAAAAGUUUUAAUAAAAACCUUCACCCUAAUUUUAAUUUUUCUUGUUUUUGUCUUAUUGAUGGACAUAACGGAAAAAACACUGCAACUUUUUUAAAAAAAAAUUUGGCUCAAGAGCUAUCAAAUAGUUUUCUGUCUAUUCAAAAAGAAUAUGAUGAAACUCUCCCCAUACCUGAUCAUUUUAUAAGAAUAGUAAAUUAAUUUAUUCAUGUUUUUUAUGAUAAAAAAAGAAAAAAGAUACAUCGUUUUAUUUACAUGUAUAUAUUCACCAUAUUUUUACACUUUUCUAUUAUAAAAUACUAGGGUGUUAAUAAUGCUUGUAAAAAAAUUGAUAAAAAAAUAUUCUUAGAAUACCCCGGAUGCAUAGGU